rnacentral:pre_miRNA from 14 species
GCGGCCCCAGACCCCUCGGGUGGCCGUGGCCAUCUUACUGGGCAGCAUUGGAUGGUGACUGGUCUCUAAUACUGCCUGGUAAUGAUGGCGGCGGGGCCCAGCACGCAGCAAAGGGGCCG